AGUCCAGUAGCACCUUAGAGACCAAGUUUGUUCUAGGUAUAAGCUUUCGUGUGCAUUAGUCAAUCUCUAAGGUCAGACUUAGUCUCUAAGGUGCUACUGGACU